rnacentral:rRNA from 1 species
AUCGAACGCUGGCGGCAGGCCUAACACAUGCAAGUCGAGCGGUAGCACAGGGAGCUUGCUCCUGGGUGACGAGCGGCGGACGGGUGAGUAAUGUCUGGGAAACUGCCUGAUGGGGGGGGAUAACUACUGGAAACGGUAGCUAAUACCGCAUAACGUCGCAAGACCAAAGAGGGGGACCUUCGGGCCUCUUGCCAUCAGAUGUGCCCAGAUGGGAUUAGCUAGUAGGCGGGGUAACGGCUCACCUAGGCGACGAUCCCUAGCUGGUCUGAGAGGAUGACCAGCCACACUGGAACUGAGACACGGUCCAGACUCCUACGGGAGGCAGCAGUGGGUAAUAUUGCACAAUGGGCGCAAGCCUGAUGCAGCCAUGCCGCGUGUAUGAAGAAGGCCUUCGGGUUGUAAAGUACUUUCAGCGGGGAGGAAGGUGUUGAGGUUAAUAACCUCAGCAAUUGACGUUACCCGCAGAAGAAGCACCGGCUAACUCCGUGCCAGCCGCCGCGGUAAGAC